rnacentral:rRNA from 1 species
GACAGAGGGUGCAAACGUUGCUCGGAAUUACUGGGCGUAAAGCGCGUGUAGGCGGACCGAAAAGUCGGGUGUGAAAUCCCUGGGCUCAACCCAGGAACUGCAUCCGAAACUCUCGGUCUUGAGUGACGGAGAGGGAAGUGGAAUUCCCGGUGUAGAGGUGAAAUUCGUAGAUAUCGGGAGGAACACCAGUGGCGAAGGCGCUUCCUGGACGUCCGACUGACGCUGAGACGGCGAAAAGCGUGGGGAGCAAACAGG